GAUGAACGCUGGCGGCGUGCCUAAUACAUGCAAGUCGAGCGAACGGACGAGAAGCUUGCUUCUCUGAUGUUAGCGGCGGACGGGUGAGUAACACGUGGAUAACCUACCUAUAAGACUGGGAUAACUUCGGGAAACCGGAGCUAAUACCGGAUAAUAUUUUGAACCGCAUGGUUCAAAAGUGAAAGACGGUCUUGCUGUCACUUAUAGAUGGAUCCGCGCUGCAUUAGCUAGUUGGUAAGGUAACGGCUUACCAAGGCAACGAUGCAUAGCCGACCUGAGAGGGUGAUCGGCCACGCGGGAACUGAGACACGGUCCAGACUCCUACGGGAGGCAGCAGUAGGGAAUCUUCCGCAAUGGGCGAAAGCCUGACGGAGCAACGCCGCGUGAGUGAUGAAGGUCUUCGGAUCGUAAAACUCUGUUAUUAGGGAAGAACAUAUGUGUAAGUAACUGUGCACAUCUUGACGGUACCUAAUCAGAAAGCCACGGCUAACUACGUG
rnacentral:rRNA from 1 species